CUUGGUCAUUUAGAGGAAGUAAAAGUCGUAACAAGGUUUCCGUAGGUGAACCUGCGGAAGGAUCAUUAACGAGUUUUGAAACGAGUUGUAGCUGGCCUUCCGAGGCAUGUGCACGCUCUGCUCAUCCACUCUACCCCUGUGCACUUACUGUAGGUUGGCGUGGGUUCCUUAACGGGAACAUUCUGCCGGCCUAUGUAUACUACAAACACUUUAAAGUAUCAGAAUGUAAACGCGUCUAACGCAUCUAUAAUACAACUUUUAGCAACGGAUCUCUUGGCUCUCGCAUCGAUGAAGAACGCAGCGAAAUGCGAUAAGUAAUGUGAAUUGCAGAAUUCAGUGAAUCAUCGAAUCUUUGAACGCACCUUGCGCUCCUUGGUAUUCCGAGGAGCAUGCCUGUUUGAGUGUCAUGGAAUUCUCAACUUAUAAAUCCUUGUGAUCUAUAAGCUUGGACUUGGAGGCUUGCUGGCCCUUGUUGGUCGGCUCCUCUUGAAUGCAUUAGCUCGAUUCCGUACGGAUCGGCUCUCAGUGUGAUAAUUGUCUACGCUGUGACCGUGAAGUGUUUUGGCGAGCUUCUAACCGUCCAUUAGGACAACUUUUUAACAUCUGACCUCAAAUCAGGUAGGACUACCCGCUGAACUUAAGCAUAUCAAUAAGCGGAGGAAAAGAAACUAACAAGGAUUCCCCUAGUAACUGCGAGUGAAGCGGGAAAAGCUCAAAUUUAAAAUCUGGCGGUCUUUGGCCGUCCGAGUUGUAGUCUGGAGAAGCGUCUUCCGCGCUGGACCGUGUACAAGUCUCCUA
rnacentral:rRNA from 1 species